ensembl:snRNA U6 U6 spliceosomal RNA
GUGCUUACUUUGGCAGCACAUACACUAAAAUUGGGAUGAUACAGAGAUUAGCACGGCCCGUGCACAGGGAUGACGCAAAAAUUUUUGAAGCCUUCCAUAUUUUU